AGAACUUGAAACCGUGUGCUUACAAGUAGUCAGAGCCCGUUAAUGGGUGAUGGCGUGCCUUUUGUAGAAUGAACCGGCGAGUUACGAUCUGAUGCAAGGUUAAGCAGCAAAUGUGGAGCCGCAGCGAAAGCGAGUCUGAAUAGGGCGUUGAGUAUUUGGUCAUAGACCCGAAACCAGGUGAUCUACCCUUGGUCAGGUUGAAGUUCAGGUAACACUGAAUGGAGGACCGAACCGACUUACGUUGAAAAGUGAGCGGAUGAACUGAGGGUAGCGGAGAAAUUCCAAUCGAACUUGGAGAUAGCUGGUUCUCUCCGAAAUAGCUUUAGGGCUAGCCUCAAGUGAUGAUUAUUGGAGGUAGAGCACUGUUUGGACGAGGGGCCCCUCUCGGGUUACCGAAUUCAGACAAACUCCGAAUGCCAAUUAAUUUAACUUGGGAGUCAGAACAUGGGUGAUAAGGUCCGUGUUCGAAAGGGAAACAGCCCAGACCACCAGCUAAGGUCCCAAAAUAUAUGUUAAGUGGAAAAGGAUGUGGCGUUGCCCAGACAACUAGGAUGUUGGCUUAGAAGCAGCCAUCAUUUAAAGAGUGCGUAAUAGCUCACUAGUCGAGUGACACUGCGCCGAAAAUGUACCGGGGCUAAACAUAUUACCGAAGCUGUGGAUUGUCCUUUGGACAAUGGUAGGAGAGCGUUCUAAGGGCGUCGAAGCAUGAUCGCAAGGACAUGUGGAGCGCUUAGAAGUGAGAAUGCCGGUGUGAGUAGCGAAAGACGGGUGAGAAUCCCGUCCACCGAUUGACUAAGGUUUCCAGAGGAAGGCUCGUCCGCUCUGGGUUAGUCGGGUCCUAAGCUGAGGCCGACAGGCGUAGGCGAUGGAUAACAGGUUGAUAUUCCUGUACCACCUAGUAUCGUUUUAAUCGAUGGGGGGACGCAGUAGGAUAGGCGAAGCGUGCUGUUGGAGUGCACGUCCAAGCAGUAAGGCUGAGUGUUAGGCAAAUCCGGCACUCAUAAGGCUGAGCUGUGAUGGGGAGAGGAAAUUGUUUCCUCGAGUCGUUGAUUUCACACUGCCGAGAAAAGCCUCUAGAUAGAUAACAGGUGCCCGUACCGCAAACCGACACAGGUAGUCAAGAUGAGAAUUCUAAGGUGAGCGAGCGAACUCUCGUUAAGGAACUCGGCAAAAUGACCCCGUAACUUCGGGAGAAGGGGUGCUCUUUAGGGUUCACGCCCAGAAGAGCCGCAGUGAAUAGGCCCAAGCGACUGUUUAUCAAAAACACAGGUCUCUGCUAAACCGUAAGGUGAUGUAUAGGGGCUGACGCCUGCCCGGUGCUGGAAGGUUAAGAGGAGUGGUUAGCUUCUGCGAAGCUACGAAUCGAAGCCCC
rnacentral:rRNA from 1 species